GAGAGCAUGGAAGAAGAGGAGACAGAAAAGAUGGUGUGAUGUAGUACAUUUAUGGUUUCAUUUUUGGCCAUCAUGGCAGGGGUGGAGGACAGGUCGGAUGGUGGCACAUUACCAUGCAUAGAAACCAGUCCACAUCUGGCUGCUGAUGCAGCAUCCUUGAAUUCCUCACCUCGCUGAAAAUGAGCCAUCUCUUCCAGUUCAGCUUGUUUUGAAACCAUGGAAAUCUUGUCCAUUAUUCUCUGUGUACUUCUUCCCACAGAGAUCUGGCAUGAUAUUGAUUCAGCAUCUGGAGGAGCUAAUACCAGUUUAUCAAGUCUGUAUCCAUCACCUAACGGUGCCUCCUCUACCUAAAGGAUUUCAUGAAACCCCAUUUCAAAAUCACUGCUUGAAAUGGUCAUGUUUCAAACCUCUGUAAAGAAACUGUAACUGUGGAAAAAUGAUGUCUUCACUGUCGUUUCCAUCUCAUGACCCAGAGACACCUGCUUAUGAAAGAAUAGGAGUCCUGAUCAUUCAGGGCCUCUCAAAACAAGUCAAUCUCACCAAAUGUCCAUGGAGGAUGUUUACCCUGAUUCUGUUGCAGUUUCUCAGGCCACACUUGUCAUUGCCUGCAUGUUCAUGAACAUCAAAAGCACCAGUGACUAGAACUGGAAAAUGGUUGUCAAUUGCUUCAAUAAAGUCCCAGAAGGAAGAGUGAAGCACUCUUUUAACCCCUAGGAACCAAAUGUUUAUUGGAAAGGGAGUCAAGAAAAUGGUAAGU